GAAAAACCAGCAUUAGACUUUGUACCGCAUUUCCAUGGAAGAACUUUUGAGAUUCGCAGAAUAGGUAGGCAGUGUGGUGUGACCUUAACCAACCACUUAUAAAACUGGUUGGUGAAACGUCACACCACACCCGUUGUUGAAAUCGUAUAAGCUUUCAAUAUUCGCAAAACGUCACACCAGUGAAAUGUAGCACCCGCUUUGUUAAAGUUUAUGUAUCGUUUGGAAGUUACUUCAAAGUAAAUUUAACGUUAACGCUUCACCAUUAUGCCACAGUUAUGCCAUCGGCAUAGACGAGAACUUUUGAAGAACAGUGGAAGAAAUAUUGGUGAGGUGAGGCUAAAUAAGACGGGAACCCCGAGGAAUGCCAAUUAGAAGGCGAAAUGAAGAAAAUGAGAAAUCGUCCAGGCUUUUGGUGUAAUUAGAGAUUAGGAAGUAAUUGUUCAAUCAUUGUAGUAAAGCUAGGAAUUGAAGAGAGAAUGAUCAGACAGUAUUUCUUAUGUUCUUCUUUUGGAAUUGUUUGGAAUUUAUCACUGCCGAGGAAUUAAGGUUUUUGGUGAUGUUUUAUUGAAUAUUAGAGUUAAAAAUGGUAAAAAUUUGGAAUGAAAAUCAUACCGGAUAGAAUAAGGAAAAUACUAAAUAAAAAAAAGCAGAACAAAAACUAAAGAUAAUUGUGCGUAAACUACUUGUUCGCUCGAAGAAAAUUCAAGAUUCAAACAAAAAGAGUUCUUUUGUAAUGACACAUGCAAUUUUGGAAGUUUUCACAAUAGAGUUGACAUUCACGAUUGAAAAGGAAUGACUUUGCACUCCCGACCCACCGGUUGCCAAGUGGAUAAAACUACUGAACCCUAGUAGUUGGUCGUGGGUUCGAGCCUCACCAGCGAGGCUGAUCACGAGGCUGAGUUUUUCGGGUUUUUUUCACUCGUUUAGCCCAAAUAGAAACCACAUCCUCCAGGGAUGCCUCUCCUCUUGGCAGAUCGCCCAUAUUGCCGCAUCCCACUAAACCAAAAUUUGCACUUUGGUGUCAUUUUAGAAAACUACCAAAUAUAAUAUUGGAGUCUCAAAAUAAUUACUGUUAUCUCGUCGGUUUGACACGAACUUUUUUCAAAAACUCUAAAAACGAAAAAUAUAAGCAAUCUUAAUGCUGCAAUGUGCAAUGAUUAAAUAUUGCCAGGUAAAAUAUGUUUUAUCUAUUAAUUCUAGGAACAGAUAAUCAGUAGAGAUAAAAGUGUGAUACAAAUAUUAUUUAUUUAUCUUUAAUCUUAAGUUAAAAGGUUACUAAUAUGUGACAAUUUUACUGUUUUAAUAUUAGUAUUAUAGAGUUUAAUUACAGAAGAUUCUUUGACAAUUUUUACCUUUUAUGUAGAAAUGUUAUUGUUUUGAUACUGUUGCCUAUUUAAUAACACUUAAAAUUUGUUAUAUAAGUUAUUUUUUUACAUAUAAAUUUACUAAAUACUUCGUAUAUUAAAAUAUUAACAUGUUUUACGUAACAAUAACUGGUAACUUUAUUCACGUUUAACUAGAAUUGGGGUUCUCACCUACAGAACAAAAACAAAACUUUCUGCUGUUAUUUUAUAAGGUUAAAGAGAAUUAAUAAUAAAUUAAAUAAGUAAAUAUUGACAAUAAGACUAAAUGAAUUUCAUACGGAGAUGGCACCAUUCAUCAGUAUAAUUUUUUAUUUCUCCAAACACGGUUGACUAAUCGUGUGUUUGUUCGUAUAUCUUUGUUAAUAAAAUACCACAAUCAAUAAAUUACAAUAUAAAAACACUAUCUACAGUAAAAUCUGCCAAAAACGGAACCCGAAUAAAGCGGAAACUUUCCUAAACGAAAAAAAUAUUCGGUACCGUUUGAGUCCGUUUUACACAGGUUUUACUGUAUAUUAAAUUUAUUAUUAAAACAUGCAUUUAUAAGGGCUAUUUUUAUUAUUUGUAUAGUCGUAAAUAGUAUUGAUUUAUAAUAAGUA